rnacentral:lncRNA from 1 species
AAGUAGGCAAAAAGAAUGGGAGGAUGGGGACUGGGGAUGUUCUAGUUCAGGUUGAUUUUAUUCAGUGAUAAAGCAUUUGCCUAGCAUGUGUGAGGCCCUGAGUUCAAUUCCUAGCACAGCAAAAAAAAGGGGUGGGGGAUGUACAGGGAAUAGCUUGUACUACAGGCCUUGUGGCAAGAGAAAAUAAAAUGAAACAAAGAAACAAAGACCAGGCAUGGUGGUGUACCCUGUAAUCUCAGCUAAAACUGGAGGAUCUCAAGUUCAAAACCAGAUUUAAGUGGUAGACCACCCUUGGGUUCAAUCUUCAUUACCAUGAAAACAAAACAAAACAAAGAAGGCCCCUGUGACUGGAGAUGAAUAAGUUAAGGGAGAGAAAAGAUGGAUCUAGAUUCGCGUUGGUUCCUAAUCUUGUUUGUUUUUCAUUCUGAAAACACUAGGAAUCAUUGAAGAAGGCUCUUUUUUUUCCUCCAUUUUUUGAGGGAAGGGUGGUACUUACUGAGGAUUAAACCCAGGGCCAUGUGCUUUACUACUUACUGAACUACUACAUCCCUGGCUGCCCAAAUUUUAUUUUUUCUUUUUAUUUCUUUUCCCUUUUUCGGUUGUAUUUUUUCAUUUUGAGCAGGGUCUUGUUAAACUGCUAAGGCUGGCCUCAAACUUGUAAUCCUCUUGCCUCGGAGCCCAAAGUUGCUGGAAUUAUAGGAAGGAGUCACUACACCCAGUAUGGAUUCUAAAACUUUUUAAAAGCUUAUUUUGGCUUCAGUGUAGAGAUUUGGAUUAGAGUUGUAAAGGAACAAAACGAAAUGGAGCAGCAUUGUCUCAGGGUACUUCAGAUGGAGUCAGAAGAUCAUUGUUAAUCAGAUCUCAGACAGCUUUGCAGCUGAACCUUUGAAAUGGGCUACAAGAAGAUCCAUCUUCAUACCCCAUGAGAGCUGACCUUUUUGUUAAACACCACUGACUGCUUUCUAUAAAGGGACCUUUUCCCCAAAACCACCCAGAGACUGAAACUGCACCCAGUUCCUUUCUUGCAAAACAGCUGAACUUCUGC